rnacentral:rRNA from 1 species
UACGUAGGGGGCGAGCGUUGUCCGGAGUUACUGGGCGUAAAGCGCACGCAGGCGGUCUGUUAAGUUUGGAGUGACAGUUGGUGGCUCAACCACCAAAGUGCUUUGAAAACUGAUAGACUUGAGGGCUUCAGAGGGACACGGAAUUCCGGGUGGAGUGGUGAAAUGCGUAGAGAUCCGGAGGAACACCAAAGGCGAAGGCAGUGUCCUGGGGAGUACCUGACGGCUCAGGGUGCGAAAAGCCA